UACGAAGGGGCUAGCGUUGCUCGGAAUCACUGGGCGUAAAGCGCACGUAGGCCGAUUGUUAAGUCAGGGGUGAAAUCCUGGAGCUCAACUCCAGAACUGCCCUUGAUACUGGAAGCUUGAGUUCGGGAGAGGUGAGUGGAACUGCGAGUGUAGAGGUGAAAUUCGUAGAUAUUCGCAAGAACACCAGUGGCGAAGGCGGCUCACUGGCCCGAUACUGACGCUGAGGUGCGAAAGCGUGGGGAGCAAACA
rnacentral:rRNA from 1 species